rnacentral:rRNA from 1 species
AUUGAACGCUGGCGGCAGGCCUAACACAUGCAAGUCGAGCGGAUGAAGGGAGCUUGCUCCUGGAUUCAGCGGCGGACGGGUGAGUAAUGCCUAGGAAUCUGCCUGGUAGUGGGGGAUAACGUCCGGAAACGGGCGCUAAUACCGCAUACGUUCUGAGGGAGAAAGUGGGGGAUCUUCGGACCUCACGCUAUCAGAUGAGCCUAGGUCGGAUUAGCUAGUUGGUGGGGUAAAGGCCUACCAAGGCGACGAUCCGUAACUGGUCUGAGAGGAUGAUCAGUCACACUGGAACUGAGACACGGUCCAGACUCCUACGGGAGGCAGCAGUGGGGAAUAUUGGACAAUGGGCGAAAGCCUGAUCCAGCCAUGCCGCGUGUGUGGAGAAGGUCUUCGGAUUGUAAAGCACUUUAAGUUGGGAGGAAGGGCAGUAAGUUAAUACCUUGCUGUUUUGACGUUACCAACAGAAUAAGCACCGGCUAACUUCGUG